GACGAACGCUGGCGGCGUGCCUAACACAUGCAAGUCGAACGGGGUGAAGCCCUUCGGGACUUCACUUAGUGGCGAACGGGUGAGUAACGCGUGAGGAACCUGCCUUUCAGUGGGGGACAACAGUUGGAAACGACUGCUAAUACCGCAUAAGCCCAACGGGUCGGCAUCGACCAGAGGGAAAAGGAGUUAAUCCCAACUUUGAGAUGGCCUGCGUCCGAUUAGCUGGUUGGUGAGGUAACGGCCCACCAAGGCAACGAUCGGUAGCCGGACUGAGAGGUUGAACGGCCACAUUGGGACUGAGACACGGUCCAAACUCCUAC
rnacentral:rRNA from 1 species